UUGGAGGGCAAGUCUGGUGCCAGCAGCCGCGGUAAUUCCAGCUCCAAUAGCGUAUAUUAAAGUUGCUGCAGUUAAAAAGCUCGUAGUUGAAUUUCGGGACCAUCAUGUCGGUCGUGCCUCGGUACGUACUGGCAUUAUUGAUUUCUCCUUUCUGAAGAACCAUGAUGUCAUUAAUUUGGUGUCGUGGGGAAUCAGGACUGUUACUUUGAAAAAUUAGAGUGUUUAAAGCAGGCGCACGCUUGAAUACAUUUGCAUGGAAUAAUGAAAUAGGACGUUUGAUUCUAUUUUGUUGGUUUCUAGGAUCGACGUAAUGAUUAAUAGGGAUAGUUGGGGGCAUUAGUAUUCAAUUGUCAGAGGUGAAAUUCUUGGAUUUAUUGAAGACUAACUACUGCGAAAGCAUUUGCCAAGGAUGUUUUCAUUAAUCAAGAACGAAAGUUAGGGGAUCGAAGACGAUCAGAUACCGUCGUAGUCUUAACCAUAAACUAUGCCGACUAGGGGAUCGGGAUGAUGUUAAUUCUUUUU
rnacentral:rRNA from 1 species